AUUGAACGCUGGCGGCAGGCCUAACACAUGCAAGUCGAGCGGAUGAAGGGAGCUUGCUCCUGGAUUCAGCGGCGGACGGGUGAGUAAUGCCUAGGAAUCUGCCUGGUAGUGGGGGAUAACGUCCGGAAACGGGCGCUAAUACCGCAUACGUCCUGAGGGAGAAAGAGGGGGAUCUUCGGACCUCACGCUAUCAGAUGAGCCUAGGUCGGAUUAGCUAGUUGGUGGGGUAAAGGCCUACCAAGGCGACGAUCCGUAACUGGUCUGAGAGGAUGAUCAGUCACACUGGAGCUGGGACACGGUCCAGACUCCUACGGGAGGCAGCAGUGGGGAAUAUUGGACAAUGGGCGAAAGCCUGAUCCAGCCAUGCCGCGUGUGUGAAGAAGGUCUUCGGAUUGUAAAGCACUUUAAGUUGGGAGGAAGGGCAGUAAGUUAAUACCUUGCUGUUUUGACGUUACCAACAGAAUAAGCACCGGCUAACUUCGUG
rnacentral:rRNA from 1 species